UCCUCCUCAGGCUUGAAGAGAUUUCCAGGAGCGGUGACUCUCAUCUGCUCGAAGAUGAGCCCACUGUGGACCUUCCUCUUCGUGCUGUCAGCUCCCAGCGGGGUCCUGUCCCAGGUGCAGCUGCAGGAGUCGGGACCCAGCCUGGUGAAGCCCUCACAGACCCUCUCCCUCACCUGCGCUGUCUCUGGAUUCUCACUAACCAGCUAUGCUGUAGGCUGGGUCCGCCAGGCUCCAGGGAAGGCGCUGGAGUGGGUUGGUGGAAUAAGUAGUGGUGGAAGUACAUACUAUAAGCCAGCCCUGAAAUCCCGGCUCAGCAUCACCAGGGACACCUCCAAGAGCCAAGUCUCUCUGUCACUGAGCAGCGUGACACCUGAGGACACGGCCGUGUAUUACUGUGCAAAGGACACAGUGAGGGGAAUGGUUAUGGUUGGAACUGGAUCCGCCAGGCCCCAGGGAAGGGGCUAG